rnacentral:rRNA from 1 species
AAUCAACGCUGGCGGCGUGCCUCAGACAUGCAAGUCGAACGCGAAAGUCCCCUUCGGGGGACAAGUAGAGUGGCGCACGGGUGAGUAACACGUAGGUAAUCUACCUUCGGAUGGGGAAUAACAACCGGAAACGGUUGCUAAUACCGCAUAAUGCAGCGGCACCUAAUGGUGACAGUUGUUAAAGCGGGGGAUCGAAAGACCUCGCGUCUGAAGAGGAGCCUGCGGCGGAUUAGCUAGNGGUAAGGUAAUGGCUUACCAAGGCGACGAUCCGUAGCCGGCCUGAGAGGGCGGUCGGCCACACUGACACUGACAUACGGGUCAGACUCCUACGGGAGGCAGCAGUCGGGAAUUUGGGCAAUGGGCGAAAGCCUGACCCAGCAACGCCGCGUGAAGGAUGAAAUCCCUCGGGAUGUAAACUUCGCAAGAAC